rnacentral:rRNA from 1 species
UACGUAGGGUGCAAGCGUUAAUCGGAAUUACUGGGCGUAAAGCGUGCGCAGGCGGUUAUGCAAGACAGAUGUGAAAGCCCUGGGCUCAACUGGGAAUUGCAGUGGAUACUGGCAAGCUAGAGUACGGUAGAGGAUGGUGGAAUCCCGGUGUAGCGGUGAAAUGCGCAAAUAUCAGGAGGAACACCGGUGGCGAAGGCGGGUCUCUGGGCCGAUACUGACGCUGGAGGAGCGAAAGCGUGGGGAGCGAACAGG